CAGCAGUCGCCGCGGGAAUACGGAGGAUCCAAGCGUUAUCCGGAAUCAUUGGGUUUAAAGGGUCCGUAGGCGGUAUUGUAAGUCAGUGGUGAAAGCCCAUCGCUCAACGGUGGAACGGCCAUUGAUACUGCAGGACUUGAAUUAUUGGGAAGUAACUAGAAUAUGUAGUGUAGCGGUGAAAUGCUUAGAGAUUACAUGGAAUACCAAUUGCGAAGGCAGGUUACUACCAAUUGAUUGACGCUGAUGGACGAAAGCGUGGGUAGCGAACAGGAUUAGAUACCCGCGUAGUCCCUGUCUCUUAUAC
rnacentral:rRNA from 1 species